UUGAAAUAGUAAUACUGUAGGUAAGAAGCUCUUCUGUUAGGGAACAACUGGUAAUAUAAUGACAGUCAGUAUUUAUAAGAUAUUUGAGGGUAAAGAGAUGAUCUGCUGCUUUAUCCUUGAUAUUUACCACCAGCAGUGUGAAACACCUGUUUUAGAGAUGGUGCUUCAUCUGUGCAUUACUGCUGAUAAAAACCUGCAGUGUGCCUCCAGUGUAUCCACAUGUCACAGGUGUCAUUGGAGGUUCUGUUGUCUUGCCAUGUGCUUCAAGUAAAAAUGAACCUCAUGACAUUAACGUAAAUUGGAGACAAAAUGACAAACUGAAAGUGUGUGACAUCAUUAAAGGCAGAUAUUCAGUAGAAGACCAGGAUUUAGCAUACAAGAACAGAGUUGAAGUCUUCCCUGAAGAAUAUAGGAAAGGAAACUUCUCUGUCAAACUCCACAAUCUUACACACAUGGAUGCAGGAGAAUACUGGUGCUUCAUCACACAUUCAUCUGAAAUUGUGAUCAUACAGCUGACCGUCAAUGAAGCUAAAGAUAAGCAACCACCAGCAGAGGAAGAAGACCAUGCAGAAGAAACAAAGCAAAUUGGGAUAUGGAUAUUUAUUCCUGUUAUUGUUUUGAUUAUGUUUAUUCUGUGUAUUGUGUGUGCAUGGAGGAAAGGUGUUAAUACCUCCAGUUCAGAGGUCUCCACUCCCAGAGAUUGCCUGUCCUGCAGAGUGUUGCUCCCACAGUUAUCAAAGACAUCUGAACCAGCUAAUAUACAUCAGUAGGAUUUCUCAGAGCUUCUGACUAAAUCAAUGGCUCUGGCAUAUUUUAAGGUCUGUCACUGCAUGUUAUUUUCAGUUAAGACAUGUGUUUUAGUCUUGGAUAAGUCUUAAGCAAUGUCUGUGAAACGGGGGGAUCAUAUAAGGGUAAAAAAGUAGCUGCCUACCAAUCUUCAGUCACAAUUCUUCCAGUAUGUCUUCUAACUCCUCCUGUUCCAGUUUUAUUUGCAUUAAGACUAGGGAUGGGCAUUCGAUUAAGUUUUCUUUGUCGAUCGUCAGGAGAAUUAACGAUCGACUAUCGAUUAAUCAUUAAUAUUUUUAUAAUAAAAUUUGUUAUUUAACUUUUAUACUUAAAAAAUGCAAUGAAUACAAAUAUACAGCGUGUUUUUCCUCGACGAGACCUUUAUUACAAGAUCAACUUUUGGCAGACAGUUAAACUAUGUUUCAAACAUAUAUGUGGUGCAUGUGCAGUGCUCUAAAGCAGCGGAACCUGCAGCUGCGAGCCAGCAUUCUUAAACAGAGACCUCAUUAGUUCCAAAAUAAAAAAACAGAUUGAUGUUUAACAUUAAAUUAAACAAAAAAACAUAAUACUUAGAUCUGAAAGGUUUUGUCAAAAUGUAACUCAAAAUUAUUCAAGCCAGAAGAAAGUGCAAGAUAUUAGCGUUCCUAACAUUAGGCUAUAACAAAUUAGGCAUUAAAGCCUCGUGAAAAAUAACUAACUUUGGUAACUCGCAUAAAACUUCUGCACCAGUCUACUGAUUUUUUUUUUGAGAAAUAAAAGCAUGUUUUGGAGUCAGACGCGACCGUAACCCAUGGUGACCGUCAGUCCAGCCGCCGCCGAAAACAGCCGCUCCGAGGAGACUGACCGGGAUGCAUAGGUACCUCAGCGCUAACUUGGCUUAUUCCGCAUACAGAGUAUGUGUGAAACAGCGUGCGUUUUGUGAGCCCCAUUCACCAUUGUUUAAUUAUACUAACAUAGUCUUUUAGUUUUUAUUUGUUGUAAAACAACAGUAGACACAAAUUUACUAUGGUCUCCAACUCCACAAUAUACCAUAACCAUGGUAUUUGUAGUAAAAUUGCGGAAAUACAAAUCGUUUUUAAUCUGCAAAAAAAAAAACAUUUUCACAAUGAUAAAAUCAUGGCUAAUUUUCCUAAGGUAGUAAUUACAAAAUGAUAUAUGUUUGAAAGACGGAGAUGCGCACCUGUCAAUCUAUUACAUAACAGAGCGAGGCCAGAGACAAACGUGCUCAUAAACGGGAGUAAUAUGGAAUAAUGUGUGCUUUCAAUAACUGUAAGUAUACAUUUCUUUUAAAUAUAUUUUGUCAUAUAAAGUUUUGAGACAUGGCCUAAUAAUGCUUUUUUCACUUUUAUUGCUCAUUUAGACUUAUUGUGCGGGUAACAGCGUUUUUGACGCAUUUACCUCAGAGAUUAUUUUAGCAAUAUUGCUUUUUUUCCGGUAAUAAUAAUACAAUUUAUAUUUCAAUCCUGUUUCAUUGUCUGUUUAUUCAUUUCAUUAUGCUGUUAUGUUAAUGUGAGGAUAUUUAUUUGCCAUAUGAAACGUGCCGUUAUAUGAAUACUUUUGUAUAAUAUUCAAAUAUAUGCGGAAUAAUGUGUGCAUCUUUGAAUAACUGUAGAAAUACAGUUGCUUAUUUUUGUCAUAAAGUUUUGAGAAAUAAUAAUAUUGUGAGGAUUUAUUUCCAUAUGAGACGCUUUUUGUCGUUGAAUACUCUCGUUUAUUAUUUGGAAAGCAUACAUACAUAGUAGAAAAUAUAUAAUGUGGAAGGGUAGACUUGCAAAGUUACUCUGCUUAUUUUUAUUUAUGAUAUAUGUGGAGAUAAAUAAAGCAUUGCAAAACUGCUGAUUUGAUCCAUUCAGAUCCUGACCACCAGGCUAGAGAUUUUAAACAUCCUCAAUCCACACUUACUAGUCAAAUAAUAUCUAAAAUAUAUUGUUUUGUGAAAAAAAAGAUGCUUUGUUCUAUUGUUAAAUGCGGAAAAGUGUUCACAGAAAGUGUCAAUCACAUGAAGGUUUUAUAUGCAGUAUAAGCGGUCAGCAGCGCACUGCAACGGGUGCUUGACGGAUUCGCUGCACACAUACGCAAACGCACUGCAUACGGAGUAUUUGUGAAACAGGAGUUAGAUAAAAAAAAUGCAUUCGAUUAAUUGAUAACAAAUUAACGUGAUCGACGAAAUUCUUAACAAUCAAUUAUCGAUCGUCGAUUAAUUAUGCCCAUCCCUAAUUAAGACUGUCCAUUAAGAAUGGUUAGGGUUAGGGUUUAAACACCAAUAGGCCUAUAUUAUUGGAGAUCUUAUAUGGUUUGUAAAAGCACUCUUUGUCCUGUUGAAAUUGAUUGUGUGACCAUGUCAUGGUUCGUACUGGUUUGGACUGCUGUUUUUUAAAAAUUGUCUAGGCUGCCUGUUUUGAACUUGCUCAGCUCCCUCGUUCUCUCUCUCUCUCUCUCUCUCGGGGUCUGCAGACUUCCAUGACAAGUGAGGUUAACUGACUUGAAGUGUUAAACAUUUCGUAGACACAAAUGCAUAAGACUUGACCAAUGUGCAACCUUUUGUUGCAUAUUCCGAACUGUUACUUGAAAUGUACAGGUCAUGUAUGACAACAGACCUUUCAGAAGAAACAUUUGACCCCUCUUAAAACCCAUUUGUCUAUUUUAAAUAUCAUGCUGUAAUUGUUGGCCGUUAUAGGCCUAAAGAUGUGAUCAUGCAAGCAAAUACAGUAUUAUGACCACCUAAUGUGGUCUUCAAGUGGAGUUGAAAAUAUUGAGCAACUCAACUCAACUCAUCAAUCACAUUUCAUGGUUUAAGCAAAAAUAUUAUUUUAUUACAGUAGCUAACAUAAAUUAUUCCAAGUUAGCUUUUUGGAUAAAGAUUUUCACUGCUGUUUUAAUAAAAAAAU